UAAUACGUAGGGUGCAAGCGUUGUUCGGAAUCAUUGGGCGUAAAGCGUGUGUAGGUGGCUUGCUAAGUUGAUUGUGAAAUCCCUGGGCUCAACCGAGGAAGUGCAGUCAAAACUAGCAGGCUAGAGGAUGGCAGAGGAAGGUGGAAUUCCAAGUGUAGAGGUGAAAUUCGUAGAUAUUUGGAGGAAUACCGGCGGCGAAGGCGGCCUUCUGGACCAUUCCUGACACUGAGACACGAAAGCGUGGGUAGCAAACAGGAUUAGAUACCCUGGUAGUCCACGCCGUAAACGAUGGGUACUAGAUGUUGUAGGAAUUGACCCCUGCAGUGUCGACGCUAACGCAUUAAGUACCCCGCCUGGGAAGUACGGUCGCAAGAUUA
rnacentral:rRNA from 1 species